UACGUAGGGUGCAAGCGUUGUCCGGAAUUAUUGGGCGUAAAGAGCUCGUAGGCGGGUUGUUGCGUCGGCUGUGAAAUCCCGAGGCUCAACCUCGGGUCUGCAGUCGAUACGAGCAAACUAGAGUGUUGCAGGGGAGACUGGAAUUCCUGGUGUAGCGGUGAAAUGCGCAGAUAUCGGGAGGAACACCAGUAGCGAAGGCGGCACUCUGGGCCGUGACUGACGCUGAGGAGCGAAAGCGUGGGUAGCAAACAGG
rnacentral:rRNA from 1 species